rnacentral:rRNA from 1 species
GGUGAACGCUGGCGGCGUGCUUAAGACAUGCAAGUCGAACGCAGUCUUCGGACUGAGUGGCGCACGGGUGAGUAACACGUAACUGACCUACCCCCAAGUCGCGAAUAACCAGCCGAAAGGAUGGCUAAUACGUGAUGUGAUGAUCCGCUGUGGCGGAUCAUUAAAGACUUGAUCGCUUGGGGAGGGGGUUGCGUUCCAUCAGCUAGUUGGUAAGGUAAAGGCUUACCAAGGCAACGACGGAUAGCCGGGCUGAGAGGGUGGCCGGACACAGGGGCACUGAGACACGGGGCCCACGCCUACGGGAGGCAGCAGUUAGGAAUCUUCCACAAUGGGCGCAAGCCUGAUGGAGCGAAGCCGCGUGAGGGAUGAAGGUUCUCGGAGCGUAAACCUCUGAACCAACGACGAAAGACCCGACAAGGGAGAUGACGGUAGUUGGGUAAUAGCACCGGCUAACUCCGUGCCAGCCGCCGCAGUAACAC